UGCCACAGACAUAUCAUCCUGCAGCCCAAGACCGGUUACUUACUGAAGCUAAGCAGGGCUAAGCCUGGCCACUACCUGGAUGGGAGACCAAAUGGGAAAACUAGGUUGCUGUUGGUAG
ensembl:rRNA 5S_rRNA 5S ribosomal RNA